UACGUAGGGGGCAAGCGUUGUCCGGAAUUAUUGGGCGUAAAGAGCGUGUAGGCGGCCAGAUAAGUCCGCUGUGAAAUCUCGAGGCUCAACUUCGAGCUGUCGGUGGAAACUGUCUGGCUAGAGUCCGGAAGAGGAGAAUGGAAUUCCUGGUGUAGCGGUGAAAUGCGUAGAUAUCAAGCGGAACACCAGUGGCGAAGGCAAGUCCCUGGACAACUCCUGACACUGAGGCACGAAAGCUAGGGGAGCAAACAGG
rnacentral:rRNA from 1 species